rnacentral:rRNA from 1 species
UCAGAGUUAUCCUGGCUCAGGAUGAACGCUAGCUACAGGCUUAACACAUGCAAGUCGAGGGGCAGCAUGAACUUAGCUUGCUAAGUUUGAUGGCGACCGGCGCACGGGUGAGUAACACGUAUCCAACCUGCCGAUGACUCGGGGAUAGCCUUUCGAAAGAAAGAUUAAUACCCGAUGGCAUAGUUCUUCCGCAUGGUGGAACUAUUAAAGAAUUUCGGUCAUCGAUGGGGAUGCGUUCCAUUAGGUUGUUGGG